GGCUCGCAGGCGGUUUCUUAAGUCUGAUGUGAAAUCCCCCGGCUCAACCUGGGAGGGUCAUUCGAAACUGGGAGGCUUGAGUGCUGAAGAGGAGAGUGGAAUUCCACGUGUAGCGGUGAAAUGCGUAGAGAUGUGGAGGAACACCAGUGGCGAAGGCGACUCUCUGGUCUGUAACUGACGCUGAGGAGCGAAAGCGUGGGGAGCGAACAGGAUUAGAUACCCUGGUAGUCCACGCCGUAAACGAUGACUGCUAGGUGGUAGGGGGCUUGCGCCCUGUAUUGCUGAGCUUAACGCAUUAAUCAAUCCCCCGGGGAAGUCCGGCCCCAAGACUGAACUUCAAUGGAUUUGACGGGGGCCCGCCCAACCGGGGAACCUGGUGGUUUAUUUCAUACCACCCCAAAAAACCUUACCACGCCUGGACUUCCUCUGACUUUCCUAAAAAGCUGAGGUGCCCUUCGGAACUCUAAUGCCAGGGGUGGCAGGGUGGCCUCCACUCCUGGUCUUGAGAGGUGGGGUUAGUUCCGCCACCAACGGCACCCCUAGACCUUGUUGGCCGCCAUUCAGUUCGGGACUCUAAGGAGACUGCCGGUGACAAACUGGAGGAA
rnacentral:rRNA from 1 species